rfam:Salmo salar isolate Sally breed double haploid chromosome ssa10, whole genome shotgun sequence.
UGCAUUCACUACUGUAAGUCGCUCUGGAUAAGAGCAUCUGCUAAAUGACUUAAA